UACGUAGGGGGCUAGCGUUGUUCGGAUUCAUUGGGCGUAAAGGGUGCGUAGGUGGCGCGGUAAGUCGGGUGUGAAAUCUCGGAGCUUAACUCCGAAAUUGCAUUCGAUACUGCCGUGCUCGAGGACUGGAGAGGAGACUGGAAUUCAUGGUGUAGCAGUGAAAUGCGUAGAGAUCAUGAGGAAGACCAGUGGCGAAGGCGGGUCUCUGGACAGUUCCUGACACUGAGGCACGAAGGCCAGGGGAGCAAACGGG
rnacentral:rRNA from 1 species